rnacentral:tRNA from 1 species
GCCCUGGUGGCGGAAUUGGCAGACGCGCUAGGCUCAGGACCUAGUGGGAGUUAUAUCCCGUGUUGGUUCGACUCCAAUCCAGGGCA